UGCAAGUCGAACGGGCGCUUUAGCAAUAGAGUGCUAGUGGCAAACGGGUCAGUAACGCGUGGGUGAUCUGCCUUCAAGUGGGGGACAACAGACCGAAAGGUUUGCUAAUACCGCAUGUGCUCGGCGAUUCAAUUUGCCGAGCAAAGUCGCAAGACGCUUGAAGAGGAGCCUGCGACCCAUCAGGUAGUUGGUGAGGUAAUGGCUCACCAAGCCAAAGACGGGUAGCUGGUCUGAGAGGACGACCAGCCACAAUGGAACUGAGACACGGUCCAUACUCCUACGGGAGGCAGCAGUGGG
rnacentral:misc_RNA from 1 species